GAGUUUGAUCCUGGCUCAGAUUGAACGCUGGCGGCAGGCCUAACACAUGCAAGUCGAACGGCAGCGGGGGAUAGCUUGCUAUCCUGCCGGCGAGUGGCGGACGGGUGAGUAAUGCAUGGGGAGCUGCCCAAUCGAGGGGGAUACCAACUGGAAACGGUUGCUAAUACCGCAUACGCCCUGCGGGGGAAAGGUGGGGACCUUCGGGCCUACCGCGAUUGGAUGCACCCAUGUGGGAUUAGCUGGUUGGUGAGGUAACGGCUCACCAAGGCGACGAUCUCUAGCUGGUCUGAGAGGAUGACCAGCCACACUGGAACUGAGACACGGUCCAGACUCCUACGGGAGGCAGCAGUGGGGAAUAUUGCACAAUGGGGGAAACCCUGAUGCAGCCAUGCCGCGUGUGUGAAGAAGGCCUUCGGGUUGUAAAGCACUUUCAGUGGGGAGGAAGGGGUGAUGACUAAUAUUCAUCAUCAUUGACGUUACCCACAGAAGAAUCACCGGCUAACUCCGUGCCAGCAGCCGCGGUAAUACGGAGGGUGCAAGCGUUAAUCGGAAUAACUGGGCGUAAGCGC
rnacentral:rRNA from 1 species